rnacentral:rRNA from 1 species
UCCCCAAGGUGAACAGCCUCUGUUCAAUAUGAAAAAUGCAGGUAAGGGAAGUCGGCAAAUUAGACCCGUAACUUUGGGAAAAGGGUUGGCUCUAGUGCUGCGUGGGAGUGUUUGUUGUAUUUUGGCUGCACCAGCUGGCCACUUUGUUGCGGAGGGCCUCGUUGCUUUCUGUGACAUCGAGUCUGGCAGGUGUAGCUGAGUGCGACGAAGCCCACAGCAUGCAGCAGACUANAACUGCAACGGGCAAAGGGAAUCCGACUGUUUAAUUAAAACAAAGCAUUGCGACGGCCGUGGCCGGUGUUGACGCAAU